UUGUUCGCAAUGGGCGCAAGCCUGACGACGCAACGCCGCGUGGAGGAUGAAGGUCUUCGGAUUGUAAACUCCUGUUGCCCGGGACGAAACGUUCCGACCUAACACGUCGGAACCUGACGGUACCGGGUGAGGAAGCCCCGGCUAACUCUGUGCCAGCAGCCGCGGUAAUACAGAGGGGGCAAGCGUUGUUCGGAAUUACUGGGCGUAAAGGGCGCGUAGGCGGCCUGCUAAGUCGAACGUGAAAUCCCCGGGCUCAACCCGGGAACUGCGUCCGAUACUGGUUGGCAUGAAUCCGGGAGAGGGAUGCGGAAUUCCAGGUGUAGCGGUGAAAUGCGUAGAUAUCUGGAGGAACACCGGUGGCGAAGGCGGCAUCCUGGACCGGCAUUGACGCUGAGGCGCGAAAGCCAGGGGAGCAAACGG
rnacentral:rRNA from 1 species